UACACAUUGCAGGGCACAUAGGCAAAGGUAGGAGUGCCCGCAGCUGCCGCUUGGCUGAGGCGGCCAUUUUGCGGUGGUGCACCUCAUGUGGUGGCCAUUUGCCCGACGCAGCCGUUUGCUUGCAGAGCCACAUCUGUGGUGGCCAUUGACCUGAGGCAGCUAUUUGCUGAGGCUCCCCACACGUGGCCACUUGCCCCAUGCAACCGUUUGCCCAAGGCUCUUCAUGCAUGGUGGCCAUGAGCUGGCUGUUUGCCCAAGGCGUCUCAUGCAGUGGCCGUUUUCUGAGAACCCUGAUCAGGCAGUGUGGAAACCUUCUGAAUGCACAAGGAGGAAAGAAAUCACUGAGAGCAGUGAGAAUAAAGUAUGAGGCUUCAGUAAGUAAGUCAACAGAGAGAAGAGGAGGAAAGGCACACGUCUGGAAGGCUGUUGGAAGUCUGCAAACUGAUGAUCAGGAAGAAGACGGGAAUGAAUAAUAGCAUAAGAAGAGAGACAAUGACCAGAAAAGAAAUGAUGGAAUAAAAGCCCUGUCAUGGACUGCAUUAAUAUCACAAGUAUGCUGGAGCUGAGCAUGAGAGUAUCCAUCCAGCUGUACUGUAAAGCCAUUGCUGCAGUGCUCCUAGAAAUGGUUCAGGAUGCCUAGAGACAAAUGAUAUGGAAAAAGGCCUCCAUGACAGGUCCCUACUGGCACUGACUGUACAAGCAGGAGGACACCUAGGCAGAAGGUCCUGCUGGAUGGAACAUGUCUCAAGGGCAAUCCAAGGAAGGAGAACAUUUGAUAAGCACACGUAGCUCCGGGCAAAGCUCUGUGCAUUCCCAUGGAGCUGUGAUGCCAGGCUCCCAUCUCAAGUAACAUGAGUCAUCACAUAUGGAAACAAGAUCUGCCUACAUGGAAACCCCAGUUUUCUUAACUGACUUUAGAAAGUGGGACAGCUCUGUUUUCAGACUUUUUGUUGAAGGAAGUUGGAUCAUAAGCCCUUAGAAGAUACUUGGAUUUUUUUUUUCUUUCUGUUUUUUACUUCCACCUUGUAAAGUUACACUGCAGGAAUGGCUUGCAAUUGAACUUGCUUCUUGUGUUUGAGGAGUGUUAUGUUUGCUAAUUCAUAACCAUUCACAGAAACUUCUGAGAAAUAAUUUCAUGUUUGUAUGUAAUAAUAUUGUACAAAUACUAAUUGUUUUCACAAAACUAUAAUGUCUGACAGGCACUGAUGUUAAAUAUUCAGUGCUGACAGAUCUGUGAAACGUUAAUGGUUUGCAAAUACAACAUCUACCUAUACUGGAUUUUCUGUUCUGCUUUGUUAUCAUAAACUCUUGAAAGUUUCAAGCUUGUCCUAGCAGGGAGACAGCAAGGAAGUGGAGAUGCUCACAUCUAUGGCAACAAAUUGACUACAGAAAACAAAUUUUGAGAACAGACUCUAAAGUAACUAAUGAAAAAUACCAACUAAGAAAAGCCCAAUCUAGUAAAAUAAGCCCUUCCAGCAGUCGUAUCACAAGUGUUACUUUUAUGUCCUUCUGCUGCAGUAUUCAUUUUGUGCCAUUUACAUUGCUUACUGCUCACCCCUUUGGAGGGUAACAUCUCUCUGAGGCUGGAAGACUGAUUAUGAAUUACUAAAUUGUUCAAAUCAAGCAGUGAGAAACACAACAGGAAAUAAGCACGAGGAACUACAAAAUACUUUUCAGGUUGUUUUUUACUGUGAUAAUGUGGCUAAAAUGAUUUUUAAUGACACAAUACCACUGUUGUCCAUGAUGUACCCUAAUAGUUUCAGUCUUUUCUUAGGCUUGGAACUCUAGGGCCUGGAGCUCUUCUUCCACAAGGUUUUCACAUGUAUGUGCUUGACUUUCAGAGCUCAGAGUUAUUGCAGGGUUGGUUCAGCUGGUCCUGAAAAUGCCUUUACGUGCUGGGGCACAGAAGGGACUCUGCUUUUCCAUAAAGGAGAUCCUUCUGUUGGUGAUCAGCAAGGCUGAAACCUGCUGGAAGGAAAGGAGGGUCGUGAGUGCAGUGCUGAGGAAGGGGCUUUGCAGGCCCUGCCAAAGGGUGCUGCAGUGGGAUCAGUUAAUCCCUUGGGACAACUAAGCACCGCCUGUGAGGCUGAACUUGGGUUCUG